UUGCGGCCACAUCAGAUGAAGACAUCGGUUCCCGUACGAUCACCAAAGUUAAGCAAUGUCGAGCCUGGUCAGUACCUAGAUGGGCAACUGCUUCGGAUACCAGGUGCUGUAAG